AUUCAGGAAACGGAUUUAAGUCCCCCCUUAAACAACCAGGUACCAAUUAAUACCCCCCCCCGUUUAAGAGCCAUUCAAAUAAGGUACAGCCUAUUUGAUACAGGAGACAACCUUAAGCUUAGGGUAAUGUCCUUGACUUACAGUGAAGUAGGCCUAACAGCAGCCACCUUUAAAAAAGCGUUAAAGCUUUACUAUAUUAACUCAUAAUAACACCAAAAUAACAAAACCCACAAUUACUACUGAAUUAAUCCAUACACAUAUGGAAAAGCCUAUGUUAGAACUAGUAACAAGAAAAGACCUUCUCCAAAGUGCAACCAUAAGCCACACUUACACUACUGACACCUAUYGUUMWGAURAACGGUAGCAACUUCMCUARAAAACCCUACCAAUACUAACGUUAAACUUACACCAGGGCACUACCGGAAAGAUUAAAAAAGGAGGAAGGAACUCGGCAAACACUGACCCCGCCUGUUUACCAAAAACACCGCCUCCCGUCCCCUAUGAGAGGUCCAGCCUGCCCAGUGGAUUUACUAAACGGCCGCGGUACCCUAACCGUGCUAAGGUAGCGCAAUCACUUGUCCCCUAAAUAGGGACUUGUAUGAAUGGCACCACGAGGGUUAUCCUGUCUCCCCCCUUUAAUCAGUGAAACUGACCUCCCCGUGAAGAGGCGGGGAUAAACAUAUAAGACGAGAAGACCCCAUGGAGCUUUAAAUACACACCACCUACUCUUCUUACACCCAUCAAACCAAGUAGCCUGGCCACUGUUUUAGGUUGGGGCGACCACGGAGUAAAACUCAACCUCCGAGACGAACAAUAAUUCAAGAACAACAACUCAAAAAAUCAAAACUGACGUAAUUGACCCAAGCUCAUUUGAUCAACGAACCAAGUUACCCUGGGGAUAACAGCGCAAUCCAUUUCAAGAGCCCCUAUCAACAAAUGGGUUUACGACCUCGAUGUUGGAUCAGGGUACCCCAGUGGUGUAGCCGCUACUAAAGGUUCGUUUGUUCAACGAUUAAAACCCU
rnacentral:rRNA from 1 species